GAAAUGCGAUAAUUAAUGUGAAUUGCAGAAUUCAGUGAAUCAUCGAGUCUUUGAACGCACAUUGCGCCCCCUGGUAUUCCGGGGGGCAUGCCUGUCCGAGCGUCAUUGCUGCCCUCAAGCACGGCUUGUGUGUUGGGCUUCCGUCCCUGGCAACGGGGACGGGCCCAAAAGGCAGUGGCGGCACCAUGUCUGGUCCUCGAUCGUAUGGGGCUUUGUCACCCGCUCCCGUAGGUCCAGCUGGCAGCUAGCCUCGCAACCAAUCUUUUUAACCAGGUUGACCUCGGAUCAGGUAGGGAUACCCGCUGAACUUAAGC
rnacentral:misc_RNA from 1 species